GGGGGGGGGUGGGGGGGGGGCUGGCGGGUGGGGGGCGGGCGGUGCGUUCGGGGAGCGGGGCGCGCGGGUGCGUCACGCGGGGUAGCCUGCCCUGAUGUUCGGGGGAACUCCUCGACGUUUGCUCUCGUCCCUGAUCCUGUCUUCAGCCCAAAGAUUUCUUGCCUGUGGAUGUGCCAGCGUUGGAUUAGCUAGUUGGUGGGGUAAAGGCAUACCAAGGCGCCGAUCCCUAGCUGGUCUGAGAUGAUGAUCCGCCACACUGGGACUGAGACACGGCCCAGACUCCUACGGGAGGCAGCAGGGGGGAAUAUUGGACAAUGGGCGAAAGCCUGAUCCAGCAAGGCCGCGUGAGUGAUGAAGGCCUUAGGGUUGUAAAGCUCUUUUACCCGGGAUGAUAAUGACAGGACCGGGAGAAUAAGCCCCGGCUAACUCCGUG
rnacentral:rRNA from 1 species